UACACCGCUCACAGCCCUUGCUUUUGUGUGGACUGAUCUGACCGAGACUGGAAACCUGGAGAGUGUUACCGAAAUAAUCAAUCAGUAUUCGUCUGCUUCGCCUUCUUUUCUUUUCUUCUCUCUUCUCUUCUAUUUAUGCUUAUUUCCAUACCCUUUAUCUUUAUUUGUAUUUCCGCAAUUUAAAAAGCGCAAACAAGUUUUAGGGUUUGAAGGAAGUAGGUAUUAGUGAAGUGGAAGAGGCAUGGCAAAAGAGGGACCCAACUGGGACGGAUUGCUCAAGUGGAGCCUUGCCCAUUCUGAUGGGACUGCUCCAAAUCGCAAUCUCAGUGAGGAGGAUAGAAGAUGGUUUACGGAAGCUAUGCAAUCACAGAGCGUUGAUGUGAUAAAGAGAAUGAAGGAGAUAACUCUUGUGAUGCAAACCCCAGAACAAGUGUUGGAAUCUCAAGGAAUUACUCCUGCUGAUAUUGAAGAGUUGUUGGAUGAGCUGCAAGAACAUGUUGAGUCCAUUGACAUGGCCAAUGAUCUUCAUUCGAUAGGAGGUUUGGUCCCUCUCCUUGGUUUUCUGAAGAACACCCAUGCUAGUGUUCGAGCAAAGGCUGCUGAAGUUGUAACCACCAUUGUCCAGAACAACCCUAGGAGUCAGCAAAUGGUUAUGGAAGCAAAUGGUUUUGAGCCUCUGCUUUCUAAUUUCACUUCAGAUCCUGAUGUGACUGUAAGAACCAAAGCGCUAGGUGCAAUAUCAUCUUUAGUCCGACAUAACAAACCAGGUAUUGCUGCCUUUCAUCUAGGAAAUGGUUUUGCAGCUCUGAGAGAUGCCCUGGGUUCUGAGAAUGUGAGAUUUCAAAGGAAAGCAUUGAACUUGAUCCACUACCUACUGCAUGAGAAUAGUUCAGAUUGCAGCAUAGUCAGCCAGCUGGGAUUCCCACGCAUAAUGUCGCACCUUGCCUCAAGUGAAGAUGCAGAAGUACGAGAAGCUGCCCUUCGUGGCCUUCUUGAACUUGCUCGAAACAAAAUAGAUGGGAACACUGGUAGAUUAGGUGAGGAUGAUGAAAAAUUGAAGCAACUCCUUGAAGAACGGAUUAAUGGUAUCAGCCUGAUGUCACCUGAUGAGCUUGGGGCAGCUAUGGAGGAAAAACAGCUUGUCGACACCCUCUGGGACACUUGCUACAAUGAACCAUCAUCUCUACAUGAUAAGGGGCUUCUUGUACUCCCUGGAGAAGAUUCACCUCCUCCUGAUGUUGCCAGCAAGCAUUUUGAACCUCCCCUCAGAGCUCGGGCUGCUAGACCUGAUGCUAAUAAAAAUUCCAGUACUGAAAAUAAACAAACCCCCUUAUUAUUAGGAUUGGGUCCUGCACCAGAGGCUGCAAAUGUCCAAGGGACCUCUAGUGGUGAAGUCAAUGCUGAUGAACCACAGAACACCUCUACAUAAUGCUGAGGCAGUUUCCAAGGUUUUUAAGCAUUUUUUUUUUGUGCCCUUGGUGAAGGAUCAUAUUAGGCAGUCUAGUUCAACAAUCCAUUUCCUCAUCCCGGUUAACAGUGAUGCCUAGAACUAGAACAUGAGAAAGAAAGGCGGUCAAAAUCCAGAGGGUCUUCUUAGCAACUGAAAAGACGCAAGUUGGCAAGUUGGUAUCGAUCAUGGUGUAUUGGAAACGGCUUCUCGGAGGAUUGAAUGCUAAUAGAUCCUAAUCUAUCUUAAGGAUCUGUUUUGGUUAGUCCUCAUUACUUCUCUGAAAUCUUCACUAAGGCAAAUGAUAUGUGAUUGCUAUACUGGGGAUGUACUGUAACAAGCUCAAUAUCUUUCUGGUGAAAAUUUUGGAUUUAGUGUCGUGUUUCAGUGUUGUCACUAGUGAAAUGGAUUUAUAGUUUUCUUUUCUUUUCUUAAA